AUCUAAAUCUAAGAAAUUGUAUUGUUCAUUUGCUGGUUUAGGUGUCCAAUUUUUAUUUAGUCUACUGUUCCAUAUUGCAUUAUUUCUGUCUGAUUGUUGAUAGCUUUCUGUAUAAUAAGUUGGUGGUGUUCUCCUAGGACUAACUCUAGGACUAUUUCUGGGACUAUUAUCUGGGGUUUUAACUCUUGACGUACUAGGUCUAUUCAUAUCUCCUGUGUUUAUUUCUAAUUUUUUUGGUUUAUUUAUCUGUUCUAGAAUUUCUGUAUAUGUUUCACUUAUAUCACUUAUUUCUGAUUGUUGGUCAUUUUCAUUUCCGUCUAUUUCAUUUACUUCAAUAUCUUCAUUUAGUUCUUUUAGAUCUUCAUUUAGUUUCUGUUCCAUUUGUUUUAUUUCAUUUGUUAAUUCUAGCUCUUUAUCUUUUUGUUUUUGUUUAUUUUCAUAUAAUAAUUUUAACCUAGAUAAUUCUUUUUCUAAUUCACUUAUUCUUGUAUUUUUUAUUUCUUCUAAAUUUUGUACUUUUUGUUUUGCUUGUGUUUUUAUUUUUUCAAUUUCUCUUGAUUUAUCUAUUUCUUCAUUUUCUUUUGUCAUUCUUACCAUAGCUGUUAAACUAUCUUCUAAUUUUGCUGUUUCUUUUUCUAGCAUUAAGUAUAAGUUAUUUCCUAUUCUCUUGUAUCUUCUUCCUAAAUUUGAAAAUACUAUUUUUAUUAUCAUUCCAUCUUUGUUUUCAUAUGUUUUUUCGUCUACUGCAAACUCUUCUUUAUUCAUUAUGAUCUAUGUAUUAUAUUAUGUUGUAAUUCAUAUUCAAGACAAUCUAAUUCUAAUUCUAACAUUAAUAUAUUUUUUCUUUGUGCUAGUAUUGAUUUAUUACAUACUCCUGCUAAUAUAUUUUCCUCUAACCUUCUUUUUCUAUGUUGUAAUUCUUGUUCUUUUUCAACCAUUUUUUCCAUUAUUUCUUCUAUUAAUUGUUGUUUAUAGAUUUCUUUGUUCAUACUCUUUUUUCAAAUAGCAGACAUAUUUAUAUUCUAUUUUUGAAAUUAUGUUUAUCAAUUGAUCUUUUCUAUCAUUAUCUGUUUUGACUAGUUGUGAUAGUUCAUAUUCUAUAUAUAAAGAUCUUAAUUUUUUCCAUAUUUUUCUUACUUUUUUAUCUUUCUUAGUUCUUUUUAUUUUAGUAUUUUUAUUUUUAUUCAUCAUAUCUUUUUAUAUAAUAUUUUAAAAAGCUUACUUAAUUUAUCUGGAUAUCUAAUCUUUUUUAACCUGUAAUUUCUACCAUAUCGCCUUAGCCAAUAUUCAGUCAUAUUUAAUCUCCAAUAUCUAAAUCAUCAUAUAAAUCAUACAUGUCAUAAUAAAGCCCAUCUUGUAUACUUUGUAUGGUUAACUCAGUCCAACCGUGGGUUGUUAUUUCUAUUAUCUCAUUUGUUAAUAAUUUAUUAUAAAUUUCUCUUUUUAUAUCAGUAUUCAAAUUUUUUAGUAUAUAGAGUAGUAAUAUCUUAUAACCAACAUUAUCAUCUAAUAGGUAUGUUUCCAUUUUUAUUAUUUUCAUUCUUCACUAAAAUUUUAUUCCUUCCAACCUCUUAAUAAAUUAUACUUGCUUAUUAUGCAAAAAUAAUGAUUUAAUAAUCAUCUCGUCUGGUCACUACUACAACUUUUUUCUUUGAUUAGUUACCAUAACAGCGCCUCAACUUUGUUUACUCUCCUAAACGGCCUUCUCUGCCUACCGGUUUCAACCUUAGGAUGACAUAGUCUGGGCAUACUUAUUCGAAGAAUAUUUCUGUAGCAAACUUUCUAAAGAUGGUUAUUAUAACAUUAUUCAAACAUGAUAAACAAUUAUAAUUAACAAGAGAUUUUCAGGAAUAAAUUAAUUUAGCUACUCAUGAAUAUAAAAUGGUAUACCUGUUUUUGUAGAUCUUCCGACAUAGUUGAUAUGUUUUCCAUAAUUAUUUAAUUAUCUAGCUCUGAUACCAAUGGAGGGGGUGGAAGCGGAUUUAUAAAUUGAGAGUAAAGAGUAGAGAGAAGAUUGUUAGAUGAAGGAUUGAUUAUUUUAUUUAUGAGGGGAAACCCUCUAUUUAUACACAAAAUUUACAGACUUUUGACCAAAAAUGGCCGACACAUACUUUACACUUGGCCUCUUUAUAUUCGGCCGACACAAGAAAACAAAAUACUUACUAUUACUACUUUACAUAAUGACCUCUUCUUUAUUUAUGGCCGACAUACACACUAUUUUCUUUAUGACUUUUACAAUUGGCUUUUUACAGCCGACACAACACGACAAAAAUAAAAAUUAUUACUUUUUGCAUAUGGUUGAUAUUCAGCCGACACAAAAUUUUAACAAAAUACAAAAUACUUUUUUUUAUUCGAUUUGAACGUCCCAAUAAUUUUGCAAUAUCUGGUCAAUAAUUCUUCCGAAAUAAACCCUUUCCUUAAUGCUCUUGUUGUUGGUUUUUGCUCUGGCUUGAGUAGACUGAGUAUCCAUUGGUGUAUCUCUUCCAUAUCUUGUUCUCUGAUUUCUUUAGAAUUUGAAUAUAUCAUAACUUGCUCUCGUACAUAAUAGCUCCAUACUGAAUUUCCGUUUAAAUAAUUGUUAGUUAGUUCAUUUAGGAUAGUUGCUAUUCCUAUAACUCUUUUGUUGGUGUAGAAUUCUGGUAUCUCAAUCUUUUGUAUUUCUUGUUGUAUUCCGAUAUCUUCUGGAAUUAUCAUAUCUCUGGUCAAACCAAUUUUUAUAACUUGUAUUAUUGGUUUUAUCUCAUCAAAUAAUAUCUCUGUUGGUGCUGAAUAAAAUUUUAAAUAAAACAAUGUUCCUUUAGUAAUUCUUUUAUAGUUCAUAAAGGUUUUGUAUAGCUCUGGUAUGGUAGAUAUUUCAUCUCCUGUUUGGGUAUAAACUGUAUUAAGUAAUCCGUAACUAUAACAUGUUUUUACUAGAUUUGCAUUGGUGCCUGGUUGUGCUAUUAACUUAUUAUAUCCUUGUAGCUUUUGGGUUAUAAAAUCAGUAUUAGGGUCUUUGGUAGUUGGAGAUCUAGGUGUUGAGUUUAAAUAAUUUUGGAUUUUAUAAAGGUUUUCAAUAUAUGAGCGGGUUAUCUGGUUGUAGGCUUUUUUAUCUUGGUUUAAACUUUCUGAGUAAGUAUGUAUUUGUGGUGGUAUAAAUAAUGAGUCUUUUUGGUUCUUUGGAAUAAAUGGUUUAUCGAAGAUUUUGUUCAUAUUUAAAUUUGUAUAUCUUAUUCCACCGGCUCCUUUUGUUGUAGAUGUGCUUAUUGUAGCUGCAUUUAAACAAACAUUGUCAUGGGUUUUAUGGAGUUUCCCAACGUCUCCUUCUAGUUAUGGCUUUUUACCGUCCGCCGAACGACGUAGCUCCACAUUUUUAGAGUCAUGCUGCUGACUGUUAGCUUUCAGAUUUUGUAACUCUUUUCCAUACUGUCCACCUUCGUAGAAAGUGUAGUAAUUGCUUUGAGUAUUUCUUCUAUUGUAUCUUGUUCAGUUUGAGUUCCUUUUUCUUGAUAGGUAGUCUGCAACAAGGUUCUUGUCAGUCUUAAUUACUUCAAUUGUAAAUGUAAAAUUUAAUAUAUUCAAUACUAAUCUCCUUAUUUCUUUUGUUGUAACUGAAUCUUCUAAUUUUUUUGUUAUCCACCAUUUUACCUGUGUGUUAUCUGUUCUUACAAUAAAUUUAUUGUAAACAAUAUAUGGUUCAAAUGCUAAUAAACAUUUAUAUAAUGCGAAUAAUUCUUUUCUAUUUAUUUCCCAUUUUAUUUGUGCUUCUGUAUAAGAUCCUUAAUAAUAUCUACGAUGGUGUUCUAUUUUUUCUUUUUCAUAUUUGUAUUUUAAAACUCCUCCAUAACUAUGAUCACUCGAAUCUGUUUUAACAAUGUAAGUAAAUGUUUUAUUUUCAUCAGGAAAAUAUAGUUUUGGUAAUUUUUUACAUAGAUUCUUAAUAAUUUUUAUAUGUUUUUUAUCUUUAUUAUCGUUUUAAAUGUUCUGCUAAUUUUGGUAAAUAUUCUCUUACCUGGUUUACUAAUCCUAGAAAGGAUUGUGAUUUCUUUUUUGUAUCUAUAUUUUCAUCAAUAUUAAUUAUUUUUUGUACUAUAUGAGUUUGCAUUUUUAUUCCAUUUUUAUCUAUUUGUAUUCCUAGAAAUUCUAUUUGUGAUUUCAUAAUUUCUGCUUUUCUUUUACUCAAACUUGUACCUGUAUUUUUUACUAUAUGUAUAAAUUUUUCCAACAAUCUUAUAUGUUCAUCUUGUGUUCUAGAAUAUAACAAUAUGUCAUCUAUAUAUACAAUACAGUUUUCUAGUUGGUUAAAACAGUUAUCCAUAAAAUGUUGGAAUCUACCUGGUGCAUUUUUAUAUCCAAAAGGUAAAACAUUCCAUUCAUAGAAACCUUGCGGUACUGUGAAUGCUGUUAAUUGUUUGGAUUCUUCUUCUAGUUUUAGGUGGUAAAAUCCUGAUUUGCAGUCAAAUUUGCUAAAAUAAUUAUAUCCUUGUAUUUGUCUUAUUUUUAGUAUUUUGUUUGGUAUCGGAUAAUUGUAUGUUUUAGUUUUAGCAUUUAGAUUACGAUAAUCUAUGACCAUUCUACUUUUACCUCUUUUUUGUUCACUGUGUUUUAUUACUAUAAAUGCUGGACUUGUAUGUUUACUAUUGCUUUUUUGUAUGUAAUUAUUUCCUAACAGUUCAUUUAUAUGUAUUUUAAAUUCUUCUAGAUCAUCAAAGUUAUAUUUUAAUGGUUUCUGUGUUAUUAUACUAUUUUCAUCUAUUAAUUCAAUUUUUACUUCUGUCUUAUGUUUUUCCCAUCCUUGUAAUGGAUCUUCACUAUAUAAUUGUUCUAGUUGUUCAUUAAUUAAUUUGACUUUGUCUAUAGCAAAUAUAAUAAUUUCUAAUUGCGUUAUUUGCUUAUUAUUUAUAUUUUUCAUUUCUUGGUUUAUCUUUUCACUUCCUUUUAUCCAUUCCAUAGGUUUUCGUUGUUUAUUAUUUACUCUUUUUGCUCCUAUCUUAUUUCCGCAUGCUGUAGUAAGCCACCAAUGUGUUUUUGUUAUUAUGUGUGGAUAAUAUCUAUUUAGAAAUGACAUUCCUAAUAACAUAUCUUUUGUAGUAAAUUCAAAAUUAUAUAUUUCUUCUAUUGUUAGUAUUUUAUCCCAUAUUUGUAUUUUUAUAUUUUUUUUUUGUAUUUAAUCAUACUUCCUUCAUUGUUAAAUCCCGUUACUACCAUAGGUGUUUUUAAUUUUUCCCAUUUAUCUUCUGGUAAGCAAUUAUAUUUACAUAUAUUCGUUUCUGCUCCUGUAUCUAUCAUAGGGGUAUAAUAUCUGUUGUGAUAUCCCUCUACUAUAAUUUUUGCAAGUAUAAAUAUUUUCAUUAAUCAUUUUGUCCUUUUUAUAAUUAUUUUCUUAUUUUGACAAGUUAUUGUUAAUUGUUCAUUUUCUAUAUUGUAUGGUUUGACUUUUUCUAACCAUUUUAUUCCUAAUGUAAUAUUAUGAUUUCCUUGGUAUAUUUUAAAUUGUAUUACUAAGGUAUUCCUCCUAUAAUUAUUUCUUUUUCUGUUGUUUCUUCAUUCGUGUUCACUAUCUCACUAGGUAGUCCAGGGCAUGUAUGUCCUGUUCUUAUAAUUUCUUCUUCUAAUACUAACUCUCUUGUUAUAUAAUUUUCUUCUUGUCCUGUAUUUAUUAAUAUUUUAUAUUUUCUUUGGUCUAUUAUCCCUGUUAUGAAAUAAUGAUAUGGUGUUAUUUCUUCUUUAUCUAAUAGGCUUUGUGGAAUUUCAUAUUUUCUUUUAGAUGUACUCAUCCUUGAUGAGGUAGCUCUUGUCAAUGUAUUUGGUACGCUUGAAGUGCUUAAUCUUUCUUUUACUAUUUCUAAAUCUUCUUCUAUAUCAAUUUCUUUAUAGGUAUAGUCAUUAUUGUCUAUUACAUUAAUUAUUUUUUCAAAAGGAUUUUCUAUUUUUAUUUUAUUAAUUUUAUUUCUUGCUGUUAUUUUAUGCUUUGUUGUUAAUAUAUAUAAAUUUUUACAUCUUGCUGUAAAUAAUUUGCUCCCUGGUGCUAGUUCUAUUCCAGACAUUUUCCAAUAUAAAACUAAUGAUCUAUCUAUAUUUUUAUCUGUUAAUGAUACUGUAUAAUUAGCACUUAUUGUAAACUUAAAUUUUUGAUAUAUUAAGUUUUCUUUUACUGCACUAAUUAUGCUUUUUUCUAUACGGUGUACAAUUCUAUCAUCUGCCAAAUAUAUUUCUAUAGGUGUAUCUAUUCCUUCUCUAAAGCAGGCUUUUAUUAAUAUUUCUGUUCCUCCUAAAUGUACAUAUUUUAUUGGUGUUUUAGCUUUUAUAUCUUGUAUUUCUUUGUUUAUCAUUCUUUUAUUUAUUAUAGGUAUAUAUGCUUUUCCUCUUGUGUAUUUACAAUCUAUGAUAUGUUCUUUUUGACUAACUACAUAGUAUUCUUCUUUUUGUCUUUUAAACCAAUUUCUUAAAAUAGGUAUUUCUAGUACUUUUUCAACACUUAAAUCUAAUUCUUUUCCUUUUAUUUGUUCAAAUAUCAUAUUAUCAAAUAUAAUUUUCUGUUCUGAUGAUUCUUCAUCUUGAUAUUCUUCCUUAGAUAUUAUUUUUAUUUCAUUUUCAGACAUUAUACUUCUUCAUCUGUUUCGUUAUUAUCUAUGUUAAUAUUUUAUUCUUCAUUCUCAGUUUCCAUGUCUGAUACUUCAUAUAUACUAUCAUUUUCACUUAAUUCAUAAUCUAUGUACUCUAUUUGCAUAUAUUUUUUAUUGUUUAUAAUUAAUUCUGCUAUUUGUUUUUUUUUUGGAUUUUUGGGUAAUUUGCAAUCUUUAGCUAUGUGUCCUAUCUUUCCACAAUUAUAACAAGUACAUUGGGAUAUUUUUCUUUUUGGUCUGUAUGGUCUUUUUAUUUUAUGAUUUUUUACAUAAUACCUUCGUCUUGGUUGUUUAUAUUUAUAUAUAGUUUUGUUUUUUCUAUAAUUUUUAUAUCUUUUAGAUUUUUGUUUUUUAGUUGUGCAUCCAAAUUGUGGUGCCAUUUUAUUUUUGCAACAUGAUAAAUUUUUAUUUAAUACUUUUUCCAUUUUUAAUUUUUCUUUUUGGUUUCCACAUAGUUGUAUGAACCAUUGAAUUAAAAGUUGUAUUCUAGAUCCUAAAGUAUCUACCAUUCCUUCAUUAUUCCAAUCCUUUAUUACGUUUGUACUAAAUGGUUCUGGUAAUUUUGUAUAAUAUUGUUUUCUUAUUUCUUUUGCUUCGUCUAAAUUGUUUUUAGCUUUGUAAUAAUAUUCUUUAAAUGCGCAAGUAUAUUCUUCUAAGUAACACAUUUUACAUAUAUCUAAUUUUGUCAUUAGUUGUCUAUUUAUUAUUUUUUAUCUAUUUUGUUCUCUUAUAUCUGUAGUCAUGCCUCCAAUUUCAUUUCUUAUUGCUGAUUCAUAUUUAUCUAGUAUAUCUAUAUUUGUUGCUGAUGCGGAUCCAUCCAUUUUCUUAUCAUUCCUAAGUACUUCUAAACUUUCUGAGGGUAGAUUUUCUAUCCAUAAUUUUGUUGUUCCUACGAAUGUUCUUUCUACGUAUCUUGGUGUUUUCGCUUUUUCUAUUUUGUUAUCUAUUAACUGUUCAGACAUAUUUCCUAUCCAUAAUAACAAAAUUGCUUUAUUUAUAUCUGCGACACAAUCUAAAUCUAAGAAAUUGUAUUGUUCAUUUGCUGGUUUAGGUGUCCAAUUUUUAUUUAGUCUACUGUUCCAUAUUGCAUUAUUUCUGUCUGAUUGUUGAUAGCUUUCUGUAUAAUAAGUUGGUGGUGUUCUCCUAGGACUAACUCUAGGACUAUUUCUGGGACUAUUAUCUGGGGUUUUAACUCUUGACGUACUAGGUCUAUUCAUAUCUCCUGUGUUUAUUUCUAAUUUUUUUGGUUUAUUUAUCUGUUCUAGAAUUUCUGUAUAUGUUUCACUUAUAUCACUUAUUUCUGAUUGUUGGUCAUUUUCAUUUCCGUCUAUUUCAUUUACUUCAAUAUC
rnacentral:lncRNA from 1 species